rnacentral:lncRNA from 1 species
GUCGUAACGCAUCAGCCCAUGGACGCAUCAAACCAACUGACCAAUCAAUUCAAUUCCUCCUUCUCUGUUCUCGAAGAAAUCAAUUCACUUCCUCCUUCUCUGUCCUUCAAUCGAUUUGGGACCAAUUGAUGAUUUGGAGCAGUGGAUUUGCAUUCCAGGAUGAUGACGAGGCUCCAGCCAUGAUCCCAUGAAGUAUUUUUUUUUUCUUUGAGUAGUAGCCCAGGAAGUAUCUCAGUAUUCUUGAGCAGGCCAGCCCGAAGAAAUGGGCUUCCGGCCCAGCUGAACCCAGAGCAGUGACAAACGUUUCGUUCGGGAUGCCAGAGUGGCUGCGGGAAGCCGGAUCAAGUUUCGUGAAGCUAGGAUGUUUCCGAACACGCCCUAUAUGACUCACGAAAUUGAAUACCCCCCAAUACAUGGUCAAUUAAAGCUCAUCAAACUUACGGAAUGCUUGAUUUCUUUUUUGGUGUACAAAAGCCUCCAUCAUUCAUUUCUGUUUGCACAAUAUUGGCCGGUGUCCAUCACUACAAAUGGGGAUACAUGAUGAGCCUUUAACAUGACAAACAUAUAUGCAAAGAGAUUUUUUUAAUUGUUACCUGACCUGAAAAUCCCGAUAUUGCAGACACACUGAAACUUGGUGAAUGAACGCGAGCUGGGCUGCCGGCGAGACGAGCCUAGCUCGGCCCGAAGACCAGACGAGCCUCUUUGGUGUGCUCGGUUCGGGCUAAAGGGAAGCCCGGUUCGCGCUGAACCGGCUUGAAAUCCGACUGCUGAUUUUUUUUUCUUUUUGCAGGGAAUCCACCUGCUGAUCCUUUCUCUGAGAGAAAACGGACAAAGGAAAGCAAUGUUGCUUGGGACGCUAGGGGUGCGUGUGCGAGCCGACGUCGGCAGCCCGUCGUACGGUCGUAGUGUGUUCAGUACCGUGGAUUGCAAGGCCUAGGCUAAGGCAAAGCACGAAACUUCUUUGCCCAAAAACCUCGGACCCGUCGUCAAUCCGGGUGGCCGCAUUUCAAAACAAGACUAACAACUGCUCCCUCCCAUACUAAAUUCUUCUCAUGAUUUUAGUACAAAUUGAAAUAACCAUCCCGGUCGUAUACAUGCUCAAAAAGUGAGAGUUAUGUUGCAUCGUCGUUAACAAAUUUUAUCCUACCAUUUUUCAUUAUCCAAGAU